rnacentral:rRNA from 1 species
CCCCUACGGGGGGCAGCAGUGGGGAAUAUUGCACAAUGGGGGAAACCCUGAUGCAGCGACGCCGCGUGAGCGAAGAAGUAUUUCGGUAUGUAAAGCUCUAUCAGCAGGGAAGAAAAUGACGGUACCUGAGCAAGAAGCUCCGGCUAAAUACGUGCCAGCAGCCGCGGUAAUACGUAUGGAGCAAGCGUUAUCCGGAUUUACUGGGCGUAAAGGGAGCGUAGGCGGCCUGACAAGUCAGAUGUGAAAUUCCGGGGCUCAACCCCGGACCUGCAUUUGAAACUGUUGGUCUUGAGUAUCGGAGAGGC